rnacentral:lncRNA from 1 species
GUCUCAGCUCGAGCAUUCCUAGCGCCAACACGCCCUCAGGUAAAGGUGGAAGUAAAUGGCCACGCUGUAUUGACAGAGCAGGUAGAUGAAACUCAAGAGAAAAGGUGUGGAUAAAUGAAACUAGCCCAUGAUGAACCUGUUUUCUCCGUGACCACAAUAUUAACCAGGAUGAAUGGCGGUGGCAGUGGGCCUGCAUCACAGGUUGCAGCAGAUGUUCUCAAUAUUUCUAUUAAAAUUUCCUUAUUUCCAUAUGCAAGAGGAGCCCCAGAGCUGCAUCCUUAUGGUAGCUACCAUGCCGUGAUGUAAGCUGCCAUUCACUGGGGAGCUUUGGCAAUAGAAUUGGCUAGAUCAGGAAGCCUAUGUCAACUAUGGAACAACAACUUGCAGCUCAUCUCUAUUGAUGCAUCAGGUAUUAUCUACUGCUGUCUGCAGAAUUCAGACAUGGAGGGCUCAAUGGUGUCCCCUGGUCUUUGGAACAUUCUGUAUUUUAAUGAUCAUGAUACACUGCCUCUAGGACUGGGACAGAUAGCCACUGAGUACCUGCUUCAAAUCACCCUGCACGUUUUCUCUUUGGAAAGAUAAGCACUGGAGAACCAUCUCGUUACCUUCAGCAGAAAUGGAAACAAAUCAAGACAUUAAGAAUGCCGCAGUGGACAGCAGUUAUGCAAGGUUCAGCAGAGGAAGUUUUCAAGAUGGUGUGCCUCACUAGCCAGAAAUCAGAAAAGAUCGAAGCUAGCCUUUUCAUCUCAGCUGCUCCUUAAAUCAGUGCAACCCCUCCAAAUUAAUGUGAAUUGAAACUUGCAUUGCUUUUCAACUUAAUUGAAUACUUACUAUAUGUGAACCACUGCACAAAAUAGGGGAAGAAGAUGUGGGAGACAAAGAUGUGGAGCCUGUCUUCAAUAAAUUUACAGUUAGUUUCAGGGUACAUUGUUUUUCUUCUGCUGUUAAUUAGGUGUAUCCCCAAGACAAUAAAUACAUGAAUGGAAAAGUAUAUUCUGUGUUUUAAGUCUCUUUAAUAAAAAACAAAACAAAAUCCAAAAAAACUCCUAACAUGGCAACUCAGGACAUUUUAAUCCUUUUUUUUGUUGUUGGGCUUCUGAUAGGAUCCAUUUUAUUGAUUCCAUAAAUAUUUAGUAGACUUUAGACAUAUUAAUACAUUGUAGUUUGAGUUAAUUUGCAUUAAAUUCUGUUUUUUUCCCCUUAGGUAUAGAUUGUCUGUUGGAAAAAUAUAUUGCUUGUGGAUUUCUUGGGGAGUGGGAAGGUGAAUUAUACCUGUUGUCUCUACAGUCCACUACCUUCCACACCCUAGGGCAGUGGUCCCCAACCUUCUUGGCACCAGGGAUCAGUUUCCUGGAAGACAAUUUUUCUGUGGAUGGUGUGGGGAUGGUUUUGGGAUGGAACUGUUCCACCUCAGAUCAUCAGGCAUUAGUUAGGCUCUCAUAACGAGUGCGCAGCCUAGAUCCCUCACAUGCACAGUUCACAGUAGGGUUUGCGCUGCUAUGAGAAUCUAAGGCUGCCACUGAUCUGACAGGAGGCAGAACUCAGGUGGCAAUGCUUACUGGCCCACUGCUCACCUCUUGCUGUGCGGCCUGGUUCCUAAUAGGCCAUGGACCCCCACAGACGGGUACUAGUCUGCAGCCUGUGGACCCCAGCCCUAGGGGCCUGCCAUUCUGAGUGAGUUAUUAGCAUGAAGAAGAGGAAGAUCUGGAUCAAACGUGGGUGAUGGUACUCAGAGACCCAAGAUAGGAUAGGGAUGGAACAAAAUCCAUCUGGGCAACGGCUCUAUGAAAAUUUGGCUAAGUAAUUAUUUCAGUAUUCAUUGUAUUCAUUGUCCUUCGUGUUCCAUAAGUUAAAUGACUGUCUAAUUUUUCCAAAAAUUUAUUUCUGACUUGAGAAUAAGUGUGUCAUGAUUUUCCCAGUGUAAAGACACUGAUAUAACUGUAGAUACCAGACAUUUUAUGUAGUGUCUAUGACACAUUUUAGUAUGUAUGAGCCAACAAUAGACAUGUCUUUGUCUUGAGGAGUGUCCAUCUGAAUUGAAAAUGUGUCAGCUUUUUUUUAACAUCAUCAACAGACUUCUUAAUUAAGCUGCCAAUACAUACUGCCAAUAGCACUGUGUGCUGUCUGAGAAAUGCAUUGUGUAAGUGCUAUUUCCAUCUUAUUAAAUAAACAAUGUUGCUCUGUAUAAACUGGAUUUAAAGUGUUCUUUGAAUGAGGCAUUAUAUUGCUCCAUAAAUAAUGUGAUGUGAAUUCUCAUAUGAUCCCUUUUAACUUAAUUUCUAAAAAAAUAUUAUUUGCUCCUCAGUAAGGAAUAGCUCUAAUUGGACUGGUAACUUUAGUGAUAUGAUUUGUCUGUAACAGGCUGAAUCGCCCCACUCCCAAACUCCUGGUCGUGAUACUGGAUAUUUGUUAUGCCACUUUUAGUUUGCAUGAGGUAUCUUCCAGGAAGUAUUAGUUAUUAACUUGUGUUCUACUAAACUGUAGAUAUUUAUUUCCUGUUCUGGAAGAUUUCUUGGAGUGUCCAUCUGUGCAUUCCUGGUGCCUAGUGUAGUCUUGCUAAUGGAAUAGCACCUUUAUUGGUGCUACUUAGGGGUUGGUAGCUUACAAUCAAUCUACUUGGAACGUAUCCAAAUAAACUGGAUAUUUUUAUACA